UGGUGGUUCUAGCGAGGAGCCUGAACCCGUUCCCAUCCCGAACACGGCCGUUAAACUCCUCAGCGCCAAUGGUACUCCGUCUCAAGACGCGGGAGAGUAGGUCGCCGCCAGGCC
rnacentral:rRNA from 2 species